GUGCCUUAAACUAAUGAGUAAGGAAAAUACAGAGCCCUGGUGACGCUUGGCUCCGCUAACAUGCAUUAGUUACAACAAUUUUUGAAGGAGUACAGGCCGUCCUCCCGGCAACCCGCCUACUUUCGCGGGUAGCUGGAGUGAAGCGGUCUGCUCC